GUCCACGCUGUAAACGAUGAGAACUAGAUGUUGGUGGGCAUAGCCCAUUAGUAUCGAAGCUAACGCGAUAAGUUCUCCGCCUGGGGAGUACGGCCGCAAGGUUAAAACUCAAAGGAAUUGACGGGGGCCCGCACAAGCGGUGGAGCAUGUGGUUUAAUUCGAUGCAACGCGAAGAACCUUACCUACCCUUGACAUCCACGGAAUCCUGCAGAGAUGUGGGAGUGCCGCAAGGAACCGUGAGACAGGUGCUGCAUGGCUGUCGU
rnacentral:rRNA from 1 species